GUGGGGAUACUUUCAGGAUCCCUUCCUGUAGUUCAUUACUAGAGAAGUUUCUCUGCUCAUGGAGACACAUGAAACCACGAGGAGGAGCAGAGCAUACUCUCCUGAGCAUGAAGGAGGGAACCAGGGGCUUCUGCAUAUGAAGAUGUACCAGCCUUCCUUAGUCAUCACUCUCUGUGAGUUUUUGAGUAGACAAAAUAGUAGGGU